rnacentral:rRNA from 1 species
AAACCAAGAAGCUUGCUUCUUGGGGUUGUAGGACACUCUAUACGGAGUUACAAAAGAAAGUUAUAAAUGAAGCGGUCUGGAAAGGCCCGCCAAAGACGGUAACAGCCCGGUAGUUGAAAUGGCUUUCCCUCCAGAGUGGAUCCUGAGUACGGCGGAACACGUGAAAUUCCGUCGGAAUCCGGGAGGACCAUCUCCCAAGGCUAAAUACUCCCUAGUGACCGAUAGUGAACCAGUACCGUGAGGGAAAGGUGAAAAGCACCCCGGAAGGGGAGUGAAACAGUUCCUGAAACCGUGUGCCUACAAGUAGUUAGAGCCCGUUA